GACGAACGCUGGCGGCGUGCCUAAUACAUGCAAGUAGAACGCUGAAGGAGGAGCUUGCUCUUCUGGAUGAGUUGCGAACGGGUGAGUAACGCGUAGGUAACCUGCCUGGUAGCGGGGGAUAACUAUUGGAAACGAUAGCUAAUACCGCAUAAGAGUAGAUGUUGCAUGACAUUUACUUAAAAGGUGCAAUUGCCUCACUACCAGAUGGACCUGCGUUGUAUUAGCUAGUUGGUGGGGUAACGGCUUACCAAGGCGACGAUACAUAGCCGACCUGAGAGGGUGAUCGGCCACACUGGGACUGAGACACGGCCCAGACUCCUACGGGAGGCAGCAGUAGGGAAUCUUCGGCAAUGGACGGAAGUCUGACCGAGCAACGCCGCGGGAGUGAAGAAGGGUUUCGGAUCGUAAAGCUCUGUUGUAAGAGAAGAACGAGUGUGAGAGUGGAAAGUUCACACUGUGACGGUAUCUUACCAGAAAGGGACGGCUAACUACGUG
rnacentral:rRNA from 1 species